AGCAGUGGUUAUCGACGGGUGAUAGUUUACAGCAGCGAGAUCAGCCCAUCACCACAGGAGAGGUUUCAGCGUAGCUAACGAGGCGUGUCCCUCCAAAGACGUUUAAAAACAAGCAGGCAGACGGCACCACCAGUGGAGUGCGCUGGGGGAAACGCCGAGCCUGAACCGCACCCAAGCAUGAACCGUAAUAUUUGAUCUAGAGAGGAGAGGAGGACAGGGGGGAUCCAAGCCGGAGAGGGCCCUAGGAGAAAGGAGCCAGUCAAAGCGGAGACGUGGACAUUUCAGCGAGAUGACAGGCUUACCCCAAGUCAGUGGGGGAAGAGGUCUCCUCCAGGUUAGAUGGGACUGAGAGACACUGACAAGACUCAGCAGACAGAUGCAAUGACGGACUGGACGGACACAAACUCUGCAUCUCCAUGCCUGAUGUCAAAGCUCUCCAGGUCUCCAGCUCUUUUCAGGGAGCCAGGACAACAGGAACUUGGCCAGUUGGUCUCGCUGAUCCGGAACCAAGACGCAGAGUGAGAUGGGUGAACGUACAUUCCCAGACAUGAAAGGCCUUGCACAGUGUCCCGGCAACAGUAGAGGAUGAGUAAACCACAGUCGGAUCCGUCACUGGCAGUUUCUUGAUAGCUUUGCAGAAGAAAUGGAUCCAUUCAUUGACUCAACAAAUGUAAGAGUCCAAGACGCCAGACGUGAAAUACCACGCCUUUAAUCCCGGCACUCGGGAGGCAGAGGCAAUGGGCUGCUCUUCCUGGUCUACACAGGGAAUUCGAGACCGCCAGGGCUGCGUGAGAACUUGUCUCACCAUAAUGUACAGACAAGAACAUUCACUCUGCUGUGCGUGCGCUGUACUCACUGGAGGAAAUGGAGACCAGUAAGGGCGAAGAACCCUGCGUGUGUGGAGCUUUGUGGAGCUUGCAUUUCAACAACUGGACACAACGAGCAGGAAACGCAUGGACUGUGCGAAGUAACAAAUGCCAGGAGGCUGAAAAGCGGGGACAAGGCGCAGGGAGUGCCCAGGGGGCCACGGUGUGAUUUCAGAUAAAGCCCAGCCAGGGAGGAUGCUAUGGGAAGGCCACACCCAAUCUAAGCUGGGAGGAUGGCACAGUCGUGCCACAUCCGAGACGAGGAGUGGAAAAGCCUGUUGCUACAGAGAGAGCAAACCUGGCCGUGCUGAGAAAGCCCAGCUGUUAAAAGUGGGGGGUAGAUGGGUGCUUCAGAUGGUCCUUCAUGUUUUCUUUAGCGAGGAAGAGAUUUGGGGUUUUGUUCGGCUCACUUUAAAAGGGGGGAGGGGCUGGUACUGCUCUUCCAAGGACCUGAGCUUGGGUCUCAGCACCCACACUGGGUGGCUCACAACUACCCGUAACUCUAGCACCAACGCAUCCGAUGCCUCCACGGGCACCUGCACUUACAUACGACACGCACAUACACACACACCAUACACAUACACACACACAUACACCACACUCACACACUCACACACACACUCACACACCACACACACACUCACA